CAUUUAUCCACAUAGAUCAAAUUAUGUGCACCGUCAAUAUUUGAUAACAACGGCUGAGAUUAAAAAAUAUACAAAAAUUACAUAUAACUAUUAUGAGGUACAAAUAGUUGCCUGACACGCUUGUCAUCUAGCACGUCUUCAAACCUCAAAAAGAAAAAUCUAGCACGUCUCCAUCAAUGUGUCCGACACAACCACAGACUGGUGCAUGCAAAUAAGGCAAGCAAAACUCCACACGGAUUAACCAGCAAGAGCCCAGACGCCAUGUGUCAAAAAAAAGCAAGAGCCCAAACGCCUCUGGAAAAAAUCUCCACACAGACUCCGCCAAGCCAAUGACAAAUAUAAAGGCACUCGACCAGCCACAUCCAGCACACAGCAAGGCAGCCCAAGAUUUAGGAUCAAUAUUUUUUUUUGGAAAACUGAAGUCAGACAAAUCUACUAUAAACCAACGCGUCACCAGCGAAAUCGAAGUCUGCCGAUUAUGUCAUGCAUCCAGUGAUUCAACAAUAGACAAACAAGAAAAUUAGCCAAGAAAAUUAGCCAAACUUCAACGCCGGGUUCAGCUCGAGUGCCGACAAAGUCAGGCCCAACCUUCUGAGUUGUCUCUAACCUGAAUCAUCAAGGUUAGUAAGUACUACUAUUACUAAAUUCACUUAUCAGCAUGAAAUUUACAUAGGUACUCUAUCAGUUGUUUUCAACUCCUAUUAAACCCCAAAAAAUAUGGCAUACAAGAAGCUUAAUGACUUAGCGACAAUUGCUAAUGAGCUUAUUAGCCUCAAUAUAAUUUUGAUGGACCAAAAAAUGCAUUACAUAUUACAGAUUUCUCUAUUGUUUUGGACACCAAUCCCUAAUUAUAUUUUAUUGUUUUGACAGGGCCCAACCGAGUUCAUGCUACUAUCAACAUUUAAAAAUCCAUGCUACAAUCUGUAGAGGUUAAAUUAUAAUUAUAAUCAGUGGUAUGGAUUAAGUACAAAAACAAGUAGAUAAAAUAAACAAUGCUCAGGUAUGUCUAUACUCUAUACUCUGUGGUUUGAAUUAAGACUCUUAUCUAAUUAAUCUUUCUAACAGUGAAGCGAUUAAUCUCCAAAUUUAUUGUGAUUGGAUUAACACCCAAAUGAAGCAUGUGGAGUCAAUAAUAAAAAAAAAGAACUCUUUAGGGGUGAUAAAAAUAGGAGUUACGUUAUGGAUAAAGUUUCCUUAUUUUUCAAAUGGUGAUUUAAUCUGCAGCUAAACUGUCCCUAUUGUGACCUUGAUGGUGCAGAAGUUCAAUCCAGCAAUGUUACAAUAUAUUUUGUUAUUUACAGGGAAAAAUAACUAAGACAUUUACCAUUGAUUACCAAUUCCACAAGAAUUAUAUAGGGUAGAUAUAAUCGAAGCCGAGGAACUUCUUGGCAGGUAUGGAACUGUAUCUUUUAUCAGUUAUUAGUUAUCAACUAAUGAAUAGUGACUCUGUUUGUUAACUAAUAUUACUAUACUUGACUAACUUCAUAUGUGUGCAGAAGAAACUUAACAAAAAUGAUCAAGAUAGAUAGAAAUAUGAAAGGAACACUAGAAGAAGAAAAUGUUUUACAAAAGAACAUUAUAAGAAAUUACUAGAAUGAGGCACAAAAAUCAGACAAAUCAGGUACUAUAACAAACUUCUAAGAUAUGAUAUGACCACUUCCGAGGAAAACAAGACUCCAAAACCUGGAGUGAUAAUGGAGUCAUAUCAGCUAGAAUGGACCAUACUUGAUUUACUUACGUCUCUCAACUUCUUCAGAUUGCUAACUUUGAGUUUUGAGGUUGUUUUUUCAGGAUUGUGAACUUUGAGCUACCUACAAUAUAC
rnacentral:lncRNA from 1 species